UUCAACAUGUGCAGUAUGUUCAUAUUCUAACAUAAAUUGUUGGUCAUCUGGUUGUAAGUUCGGCCUUCUUUUCAUUGCCUGACAGAAUCUAUCCGAGGGCUCUAAUGUAUCGGACAACUUGGGGAGGGAAGCAUCAAGCAGAACUUGAAAUGAAAAACUCCAUCGCCUUUGCCCGCUGGCACUAAAUUAUGUUUUUCUUUUUUGAUUAAUUUUCUCUUCUUCAAUUUUAGUUUUUCUUGUGUUUUAUUUGUGGCAUUCCAUUUUCUUUUAAUAAAUUGUGAUGUGAAGAGAAUAAUUUUAUGCUAAUGCUGUGCACUGCCAUUCCUUGGCAGGCAAGGAGAAGAUGGGGGGCAGAAAUAGAAUAACUGCCCUCCACUCCAACAAUUGGUUUCGCCUUUUUGGAAAGGUAAUACAACAAUUAACUGCCCCUACAUGAAAAGUGUAGCUCCCAUGCAUCAUCAUCAGCAGGACAAGGACCCAGAAGGGCAAGAAGAAGAAGAAGAACAAGAUCUUUGGUGCUGAGGACUAUGUCUGGUCCCCAUAGGAAGCACCUUCCCAGUCAAGCACGAGCAACUGGUCAGCUCCAUUUUUGGACCCCCUCUCUUCGGAUGACCGUUCAGAUAGCUGGGAGUUUGAGGGAAUCUAUUUAGCCAAUUGUAUAUAUUCUCAACAAUCGAGUCGACCGAAGAUUUGAAUCUAUAGCUUGAUCGGUAUCAGCGGACAUUUUGAUGAUCAAGCGAAUAUCCGAUCUCAUUAAUGAAGUGAUCACACACGUCAAGAUCAUCAGUUAUGCCAUGUAUGAUGCGAGAUUUUUAAACAGUUCUCUUAUACCAAAGGAUGAUACAUUCUUCACGAGGUUUUUUGUAGUGGGAUUAGCAAUUUUUCUGGAUAUAGAACUAUGUUAAUGGGAUUUAGGACAGAAUGUCCCUUUUCCUGCACAUGUUAUUAUUAUUUCCUUCACGGUGAAAUUUCUUUAGGCAGCACUUCAGUUAUCUUGACAAGAUGAUGACGUAGAUCAUUAGAACAAUUUCUUGGAUCA